rnacentral:rRNA from 1 species
UACGGAGGGUGCGAGCGUUGUCCGGAAUCAUUGGGCGUAAAGAGCGUGUAGGCGGCCACUUAAGUCCUGCGUGAAAUCUUGCGGCUCAACCGCAAGCGGUCGUGGGAAACUGGGUGGCUAGAGUGCGGGAGAGGAGAGUGGAAUUCCUGGUGUAGCGGUGGAAUGCGCAGAUAUCAGGAAGAACACCCGUGGCGAAGGCGCUCUCUGGAACGCAACUGACGCUGAGACGCGAAAGCGUGGGGAGCAAACAGG